GUCUGAUGAGUCUGCAUGGGAAGAAGCAAAGCCAGGAAGAAGGGAUCAAGCUGUGCAUUAGAAGAGCGGACAGGCUCACAAGGACCUUUCACAGAACACACACACAUCACAUACCUCCUUCUCACUGACUCUUACAACAACCCUGUACAGAAGCACUGCUCUGGAUCUGAACAAGGUCAGGUGGCCAAGACAACCAGGACCAGCGCUCAAGUUAAGUUGUACCACACCAAGAUCAAAGGAAGCUAUUAAUCUAGUACAUGAAAAUUUCAGAAACAAAUGGAUUCCAUUCUUCCUCCAACUCUGUUUCCUUCUGCCUUGACCUUUCCAGCCCAGCCUACUCCCUAGGUCUUUCAGGGGCAUACAUGAGACUCUGAAAUGUGAAGAGAGCCCUAUUUUUCAGUUAAAUAAAGC